AAGCCCCGGAGCCUUCUAAGGCUGUCCUCGAACUUGCAUUUCGAUGUGGUAACACCCCCGGAACU
rnacentral:tRNA from 1 species